rnacentral:rRNA from 1 species
GAUGAACGCUAGCGGCAGGCUUAAUACAUGCAAGUCGUGGGGCAGCAUGAGUAGCAAUACUUGAUGGCGACCGGCAAACGGGUGAGGAACACGUACACAACCUUCCUUCAAGCGGGGAAUAGCCCAGAGAAAUUUGGAUUAAUACCCCAUAAUAUAUUUGAUAAGGCAUCUUAUUAAAUAUUAAAGCUUCGGCACUUGAUGAUGGGUGUGCGGCUGAUUAGAUAGUUGGCGGGGUAACGGCCCACCAAGUCUACGAUCAGUAGCUGAUGUGAGAGCAUGAUCAGCCACACGGGCACUGAGACACGGGCCCGACUCCUACGGGAGGCAGCAGUAAGGAAUAUUGGACAAUGGACGAAAGUCUGAUCCAGCCAUGCCGCGUGAAGGAUUAAGGUCCUCUGGAUUGUAAACUUCUUUUAUAUGGGACGAAAAAGGGCAUUCUUGUUCACUUGACGGUACCAUAUGAAUAAGCACCGGCUAACUCCGUGCCAG